rnacentral:lncRNA from 1 species
UCAGACCAACUGACAGUUAGCCCUUUCUUUGUUCUCUUCUGAUAUGUUGGACACUCAGGUCUGAUGUGGCCAUAUCCUUCACAUUCAUGACAUCGAAUGUUUCUGUUUAAGCUAGAUUUUUCCUCACCUUUUUGUUUUCCUUGAUUUUCAUUGCUGCGCAUAGUGCCUGGAGCAUUGUUUUUGAAAUUUGAUCUGGGUCUCUUAUCCAUUCGUUUCAGAACUUUGUUGAAUUGUUUUC